rnacentral:rRNA from 1 species
AACGAACGCUGGCGGCAGGCCUAACACAUGCAAGUCGAACGCACCGCAAGGUGAGUGGCGCACGGGUGAGUAACACGUGGGAAUGUAUCCUUUGGUUCGGAAUAACGUCUGGAAACGGACGCUAAUACCGGAUGAGCCCUAUGGGGGAAAGAUUUAUCGCCGAAGGAGCAGCCCGCGUCUGAUUAGGUAGUUGGUGGGGUAAAGGCCUACCAAGCCGACGAUCAGUAGCUGGUCUGAGAGGAUGAUCAGCCACACUGGGACUGAGACACGGCCCAGACUCCUACGGGAGGCAGCAGUGGGGAAUAUUGGACAAUGGGCGCAAGCCUGAUCCAGCCAUGCCGCGUGAGUGAUGAAGGCCUUCGGGUUGUAAAGCUCUUUCGCACACGACGAUGAUGACGGUAGUGUGAGAAGAAGCCCCGGCUAACUUCGUGCCAGCCGCCGCGGUAAAAC